rnacentral:rRNA from 1 species
UGGGGAAUAUUGCGCAAUGGGGGAAACCCUGACGCAGCGACGCCGCGUGCGGGAUGAAGGCCUUCGGGUUGUAAACCGCUUUUGAUUGGGAGCAAGCUUUCGGGUGAGUGUACCUUUCGAAUAAGCGCCGGCUAACUACGUGCCAGCAGCCGCGGUAAUACGUAGGUCCCGAGCGUUGUCCGGAUUUAUUGGGCGUAAAGCGAGCGCAGGCGGUUAGAUAAGUCUGAAGUUAAAGGCAGUGGCUCAACCAUUGUAGGCUUUGGAAACUGUUUAACUUGAGUGCAGAAGAGGAGAGUGGAAUUCCAUGUGUAGCGGUGAAAUGCGUAGAUAUAUGGAGGAACACCAGUGGCGAAGGCGACUCUCUGGUCUGUAACUGACGCUGAGGCUCGAAAGCGUGGGUAGCAAACAGG